UACAGAGGAUGCAAGCGUUGUCCGGAAUCAUUGGGCGUAAAGCGCGCGUAGGUGGCCCCAUAAGUCCGCUGUGAAAGUCAAAGGCUCAACCUUUGAAAGCCGGUGGAUACUGUGGGACUAGAGUACGGAAGAGGCGAGUGGAAUUCCUGGUGUAGCGGUGGAAUGCGCAGAUAUCAGGAGGAACACCAAUUGCGAAGGCAGCUCGCUGGGACGUUACUGACGCUGAGACGCGAAAGCGUGGGGAGCAAACAGG
rnacentral:rRNA from 1 species